GGCGCACCGGGUCGCGCUCGACGCCCGACGCCAUGCGUAUGUGGCCGCUCGGGGGAGGCCUGGCGGGACCGUGCGCCGAAGGCGGCGCGGAGCGGCCGAGGC
rnacentral:SRP_RNA from 11 species